GCAUACCUGACAUCCCUUUGUACAAGCACUAUGCUUUGUAUGUGGAUAAUGAGUACCCUGGCAAUGGUGACAUAAUACACCGCACAAGAAAUCCCCAUGGCAAUGACAUUAAAUUUGGUCAACUUGAAAACGAAGGUGAUCACCAGAAAGAGACUAUUCCAGGUUUUCCUAAACCAGAAAAAAAGGACAUCAAAGAUCGUAUUGAAGCCGUGCUUAAAAAAUGUGACACAUAUAAAUUAGGGAGCAACAACUGUGAACACCUUGCUACCUAUCUGCAAACUGGCAGAGGUGUUGCACAGCAGCCCGGCACCAUUGCAUCCAUUUAUUAUUGGUUUUUUCCUUGCAAACAAGAAAAAGACUGUAGUGUAUGGAAUGAAUAUUUGA